GACGAACGCUGGCGGCGUGCUUAAAACAUGCAAGUCGAACGGACUUCUCAUGAAGCUUGCGAUUGAGAAGUUAGUGGCGGACGGGUGAGUAACGCGUGGGCAACCUGCCCCUGAGCCCGGGAUAACAGUUCGAAAGGACUGCUAAGACCGGAUAUACUUGCGGUGAAGCAUUUCACUGCAAGGAAAGGGAACGCUCAGGGAUGGGCCCGCGUCCCAUUAGCUAGUUGGUGAGGUAACGGCUCACCAAGGCGACGAUGGGUAGCCGGCCUGAGAGGGUGAACGGCCACACUGGGACUGAGACACGGCCCAGACUCCUACGGGAGGCAGCAGUAGGGAAUAUUGCGCAAUGGGCGGAAGCCUGACGCAGCGACGCCGCGUGAGCGAAGAAGGCCUUCGGUCGUAAAGCUCUGUCCUUGGGGAAGAAGGCGAAAGCUUGACGGUACCCAAGAAGAAAGCCCCGGCUAACUACGUG
rnacentral:rRNA from 1 species